rnacentral:rRNA from 1 species
CAGCAGCCGCGGUAAUACGUAGGUGGCGAGCGUUGUCCGGAAUUACUGGGCGUAAAGGGCGCGUAGGUGGCCUGUCAAGUCAGAUGUGAAAUCCCCGGGCUUAACCCGGGAACUGCACUUGAAACUGGCGGGCUUGAGGGCAGGAGAGGAAAGCGGAACUCCCAGUGUAGCGGUGAAAUGCGUAGAUAUUGGGAGGAACACCAGUGGCGAAGGCGGCUUUCUGGACUGUCACUGACGCUGAGGCGCGAAAGCCAGGGGAGCGAACGGGAUUAGAUACCCCGGUAGUCCUGGCUGUAAACGAUGGGUACUAGGUGUUGGGGGUAUCGACCCCUCCAGUGCCGCAGUUAACGCAAUAAGUACCCCGCCUGGGGAGUACGGCCGCAAGGUUGAAACUCAAAGGAAUUGACGG